rnacentral:rRNA from 1 species
GGGCCCGCACAAGCGGUGGAGCAUGUGGUUCAAUUCGACGCAACGCGAAGAACCUUACCUGGGCUCGAAGCGCAGUGGACCGGGGUGGAAACAUCCCUUCCCCUUAAAAGGCUGCUGCGGAGGUGCUGCAUGGCUGUCGUCAGCUCGUGUCGUGAGAUGUUGGGUUAAGUCCCGCAACGAGCGCAACCCUUAUCCCUAGUUGCCAUCGGGUCAAGCCGGGCACUCUAGUGAAACUGCCUCAGAUAAUGAGGAGGAAGGUGGGGAUGACGUCAAGUCCUCAUGGCCUUUAUGUCCAGGGCUACACACGUGCUACAAUGGUCGGUACAAACCGUCGCAAACCCGCGAGGGGGAGCUAAUCGGAAAAAGCCGGCCUCAGUUCGGAUUGGAGUCUGCAACCCGACUCCAUGAAGCUGGAAUCGCUAGUAAUCGCGGAUCAGAACGCCGCGGUGAAUACGUUCCCGGGCCUU